UAGUCCACGCCGUAAACGAUGACAACUAACUAUUGGGGGUAUUGACCCCUCCAGUGGUACAGCAAACGCGUUGAGUUGUCCGCCUGGGGAGUACGGUCGCAAGACUAAAACUCAAAGGAAUUGACGGGGGCCCGCACAAGCGGUGGAUUAUGUGGUUUAAUUCGAAGCAACGCGCAAAACCUUACCCGGACUUGAAAUCCAGAGAACUCGGCCCAAAAGCUGAGGUGCCCUUCGGGGAAUUCUGAGACAGGCGCUGCAUGGCUGUCGUCAGCUCGUGUUGUGAAAUGUUGGGUUAAGUCUCGCAACGAGCGCAACCCCUGUCCUUAGUUGCCAGCAUUAAGUUGGGCACUCUAGGGAGACUGCCUGGGCAACCAGGAGGAAGGUGGGGAUGGACGUCAAGUCCUCAUGGGCCCUUAUGUCCGGGGGCUACACACGUAAUACAAUGGUUAGUACAAAGGGGCGGCGAAGCAGUGAUGUGGAGCGAAUCCCAAAAAGCUAAAUCUCAGUCCGGGAUUGUAGUCUGCAACUCGAC
rnacentral:rRNA from 1 species